rnacentral:rRNA from 1 species
UACGUAGGGGGCUAGCGUUGUUCGGAAUUACUGGGCGUAAAGCGCACGUAGGCGGGUCGUUAAGUCAGUGGUGAAAUCCCGGAACUCAACUCCGGAACUGCCUUUUGAUACUGGCGAUCUAGAGAUCGAGAGAGGUGAGUGGAAUUCCGAGUGUAGAGGUGAAAUUCGUAGAUAUUCGGAAGAACACCAGUGGCGAAGGCGGCUCACUGGCUCGAUACUGACGCUGAGGUGCGAAAGCGUGGGGAGCAAACAGG